rnacentral:tRNA from 1 species
GGUGGGAUUCCCGAGCUACGGCAAAGGGGGCAGACUGUAAAUCUGUUGCGAAAGCUUCGAAGGUUCGAAUCCUUCUCCCACCACCA